AACCCCCAACUCAGAGUUGCACCUGGAAAGUUUCCAGUACUCUACCAGUCUCGGCUACGGGAGGGAGAGUAAAGCAGAGGCAUACCCAUUCCAUUCCUAGCUUGGGCAGUGGCUAGCGAGUGGAAGGCAAUCUGUUACAAGU